rnacentral:rRNA from 1 species
ACGUAGGGGGCGAGCGUUAUCCGGAAUUACUGGGCGUAAAGGGUGCGUAGGCGGCCCUUUAAGUCGGGUGUGAAAGUCCAGGGCUCAACGCUGGGGGUGCAUGUGAUACUGAAGGGCUUGAGUGCAGGAGAGGUGAGCGGAAUUCCCGGUGUAGUGGUGAAAUGCGUAGAGAUCGGGAGGAACACCAGUGGCGAAGGCGGCUUACUAGACUGUAACUGACGCUGAGGUACGAAAGCGUGGGGAGCAAACAG